UACAGAGGGUGCGAGCGUUAAUCGGAAUUACUGGGCGUAAAGGGUGUGUAGGUGGUUAUUUAAGUCAGGUGUGAAAACCCCGAGCUUAACUUGGGACGUGCGCUUGAUACUGAAUGACUAGAGUAUGGUAGAGGAUAGCGGAAUUUCCGGUGUAGCGGUGAAAUGCGUAGAUAUCGGAAGGAACAUCAGUGGCGAAGGCGGCUAUCUGGACUGAAACUGACACUGAGACACGAAAGCGUGGGUAGCAAACAGG
rnacentral:rRNA from 1 species